rnacentral:rRNA from 1 species
GACGAACGCUGGCGGCGUGCUUAACACAUGCAAGUCGAACGGAAAGGCCCUGCUUUUGUGGGGUGCUCGAGUGGCGAACGGGUGAGUAACACGUGAGUAACCUGCCCUUGUCUUUGGGAUAACUUCAGGAAACUGGGGCUACUACCGUAUAGGAGCCCCCGCUGCAUGGUGGGCGUUGGAAAUUUUCGGCGGUUGGGGAUGGACGCGCGGCUUAUCAGCUAGUUGGUGGGGUAGUGGCUUACCAAGGCUUUGACGGGUCGCCGGCACGGGAGGGUGACCGGCGACAAUAGGACUGCGAUACGGCCCAGACUCCAACGGUGGGCAGCAGUGGGGAAUAUGGCACAGUGGUCGGAAGCCGGAUGCAGCAACGCCGCGUGCGGGAUGACGGCCUGCGGGUUGUAAACCGCUUUCGCCUGUGACGAAGCGUGAGUGACGGUAAUGGGUAAAGAAGCACCGGCUAACUACGUG